GCAUAUCAAUAAGCGGAGGAAAAGAAAAUAACAAUGAUUCCCUUAGUAACUGCGAGUGAAGGGGGAUAAGCUCAAAUUUAAAAUCUGUUAGGUUUUACCUGACCGAAUUGUAAUUUGAAGAAGCGUUUUCUGCGUGUUUGAUUAGCCUAAAUCCUUUGGGAUAAGGUAUCAUGGAGGGUGAGAAUCCCGUUCGGUUAAUCAUUGCGUUUUACGAUACGCUUUCAAAGAGUCAAGUUGUUUGGGAUUGCAGCUUAAAAUGGGAGGUAAAUUUCUCCUAAGGCUAAAUAUUGGCGAGAGACCGAUAGCGAACAAGUACCGUGAGGGAAAGAUGAAAAGCACUUUGAAAAGAGAGUUAAACAGCGCGUGAAAUUGUUGAAAGGGAAACGAUUGAAGUCAGUCGUACCGACGAGUAAUCAGCCUUUCGGGUGUGAUUUUGCCGGACACGGAGAGCUUUACCGCAUUCGUGCUUGUAAAUUUGUGCCCUUUGGGUGUACUUUCUCGUAUGGUUAGUUAACAUCAAUUUUGAUCGUUAUAAAAUGACUGGAGUAAUGUAGCUUCGAUCUUGUAUUGAAGUGUUAUAGACUUUGGUAGAUGUAACGAUUGGGAUUGAGGAUUGCAACGAAUACCCUUCGGGCUAUCCGUCUGGCCUCUGAAAGUCGUCUUGGUGCCGAAAGCGUGCUUACGGUUAUCGAGGCUGACGGUCAAAAGGUUAGAACGCGAUUAAAUUCGUUAAGGAUGUUGACGUAAUGGCUUUAAACGAC
rnacentral:rRNA from 1 species